AUUGAACGCUAGCGGCAGGCCUAACACAUGCAAGUCGAACGAGUGGCGGACGGGUGAGUAAUAUAUGGGAAACUGCCCGAUGGCGGGGGAUAACUACUGGAAACGGUGGCUAAUACCGCAUACCAUCAGAUGUGCCCAUAUGGGAUUAGCUAGUUGGUGGGGUAACGGCUCACCAAGGCGACGAUCCCUAGCUGGUCUGAGAGGAUGACCAGCCACACUGGAACUGAGACACGGUCCAGACUCCUACGGGAGGCAGCAGUGGGGAAUAUUGCACAAUGGGCGCAAGCCUGAUGCAGCCAUGCCGCGUGUAUGAAGAAGGCCUUCGGGUUGUAAAGUACUUUUAGCGGGGAGGCGGUACCCGCAGAAGAAGCACCGGCUAACUCCGUGCCAGCAGCCGCGGUAAUAC
rnacentral:rRNA from 1 species